rnacentral:lncRNA from 1 species
UUCCACAUGUAUUUAUAAUAAUAAUUUGUCUGAAAAGGGAAAGACGGAAGCACUUGGAUGAUAUCCUAUAUGUAUUUGUAUGACACAAGAAGUUAAGUACAUGAAUACUCCAAGAAGGAUGGAGAAUCAAAAAUGGCUUCUUCUAUACAGUUAACUAACUACUCAUUUGAAACGCAUCCUUAUUGGGAACGUGCCUUCCUUGUAUAGGGUGGCCUUAUCCACUUCUUCUAUUCUCCACUCUCAAUCUUCCCUCAAAACAAUGAGAUCUCUCGAUCUAUUACCUGUAAUAUCCUGCUCAAGAAUGGACUCGGAGUAUAAAUGAUAAUAAUCCCCACAAUGGCGUCUAAACCAUUUUUGAACGUCUAAAACUGACCAAUUCAACACACACUUGGGCCUCGUCUUCACAACCACGACCUUAUUUCCCUCCUCUUCCUCAGUCACCACGGUCAUAUUUUACAAGCUCACAGACCAAACAAGAACAGUCACAUUCCAAUCCUUAUUGUAAUUUAGAACUCAAAACUCUCGGCACAAAGUGAUUUUGAAGGACCUUCGCAUCUCCGACUCCGAACUGAAUCUUCUCUCUCACUUUUUUUUUUCUUCUUCUUUUCUUUUCCCUUUUCUUGAUUCUAUUCUUCUUUUUCUCUUUUUUCAUCACACACACUCACGCACCUACACAGCCCGUACGCUUGAAGGAGGUAGGAGCAAGAGCACUGCACAUCCCCCCCUAUAGUAAAAAAUAUCUCCAGCAGCAAGACUGUAUCUAAAUAAAGUGAAUGAAAAAGAAAGACAGAAAGGGAAAAUAUGACGUCAAAGGGGAACGUUAAUAGCAGAUCAUUUUCAUUCAUAAUUAGAUGGCUGCUGCUUCUAUAAUUAAAGGGAGAGAGAGAAAAUUCUCUAUGACAACUCUUCUGAUUAGUUACAUUCCUAACCAAUCAGCGCAAAGUACUACUCUAAAACAAAGUAGCAAAACAAAGACCAUGUGAUCAAGAUUUGUACAAGUUAGUGAUCGAAAUAUAAUUAGAUUAACAUGAUUCAAAUUGUAAUACCAUGAAUUGAUGCGUACCAAAGUUAUAGCCUUUCGAUAUUGGGUCCCUAAGGUUAUUUAUACGGUAUCAGGAAAAAAUGGCUGGAGAAAAAAACAAAAAGUGUAUAAGUGGAAAAUAGACAAGAUUCUUUUAAACUGAUAUAAUACCUAUCACAAGGAUUAAUAUAAUAUUUAUUAAGAUACAAGAAAAAUAAACAAAUACGAUAGCGGUUCGAAUGGAAGAAAGGCUUAAGGAAGGAGUCCACUCUACUCCACUAUGAAGCUACGUUUGAAAUUGGUUCCGGAUUCUCAUUCUAAAUUGAAAUGAAUGAAUAUAUAGAGUUAUAACUUGUAAUAUUCAUAUUUUUUGAUAUAAAUAUAACUGAAAACCAUUA